GGGGGAGUGUUGUGUAAUAUAGUAUAAUGGACGUGACAUUACUAUGUAGACAGUACGGUAGUUAGAUAUACCGCGUAGUCCGGUUCCCGGGAUGAUCCAUUGAUAACUACCCAACUCAGGAUAAGAUCUCGGACAGUUACCAGGUAACGAGAGUUGGCGUAUUGGCGGGAGUAUAGUACAAGUACUAAGACUUAACCAGAGCGUAUCAGAGUAUAUUUGGUGAGUUAGUACAAUUAGGAGCAUUGUAUUGUAUUACU
rnacentral:lncRNA from 1 species